AACGCGAAGAACCUUACCCAGACUUGACAUGCAGUGGACAGUUACAGAAAUGUAAUCUUCCUUCGGGACCGCUGCACAGGUGCUGCAUGGCUGUCGUCAGCUCGUGCCGUGAGGUGUUUGGUUAAGUCCAGCAACGAGCGCAACCCUUAUCACUAGUUGCCAACACGUAAAGGUGGGAACUCUAGUGAGACUGCCUGGGUUAACCAGGAGGAAGGUGAGGAUGACGUCAAGUCCGCAUGGCCCUUAUGUCUGGGGCUACACACGUGCUACAAUGGUCGGUACAGAGGGCAGCAAAGCCGCAAGGUGAAGCAAAUCCCACAAAGCCGAUCCCAGUUCAGAUUGUAGUCUGCAACUCGACUACAUGAAGAUGGAAUUGCUAGUAAUGGCGAGUCAGCUACAUCGCCGUGAAUACGUUCCCGGGCUUGUACACACCGCGCAUA
rnacentral:rRNA from 1 species